GCCCAGACUCCUACGGGAGGCAGCAGUGGGGAAUAUUGGACAAUGGGGGCAACCCUGAUCCAGCAAUGCCGCGUGAGUGAUGAAGGCCUUCGGGUUGUAAAGCUCUUUUGCCAGGGACGAUGAUGACGGUACCUGGAGAAUAAGCCCCGGCUAACUUCG
rnacentral:rRNA from 1 species